UCUAACAACUAUUUUAUUUUCAAAUAACAGUUUGAAUUGAGGUGUGUUCCGCCUUAUUCAUUCACAUAAAAUUAGUCAUUUUUACUUUUGCGGACAUUUCUGACACUGACAAAAUUCCCUAAACAAUUCUCAAUUGUUUGUGCAGUUCAAGUCUGCAGACAUUUGCUCAUCUGCCGUCCAGCAUACGUGUCCAUAUUGUCCAUCUGUUGCCUGCAUCGCAAUCAAAGUUGUUUUCGUUACCAAUAAUACCUUUGGAAAUGUGUGCGUUUCUAUCAAAUGGCACAGCGUCUCAGUGCUAGAGAUGUCACUACAGACACCCAUCUUCAAAUCCAGACUGCGUUUCAAUCAAAGUGGUCCACCUUCCCUGUGGCUGACAUGGUUGCUGUAUGGACAGUGGAGAGGACGUGGACGUCUCGUUUGUCAUGGCACUUUACUGCCAGCUGUUGACAUUUCUUAUUUUGUAUAACGGGUCAUUUAGGAUGGCAGUAGCAUUGUUGAUGAAAUGCAGUCAUAGCAGCAGAACUAGAAAGCAGUCUUGGGAAAAGAGGGUGGCAAAGACGUGAGUUGCAAACAUAGGAUCUCUGCUCCAGUAUUCUCUUAGGGAGUUCUUCUUUACUAUCCCCAUGAGAAGGACUGUCACCAGGAAGGUAUACAUUUCACUAAUUGUGGUUGUCCCCCCCACUCCUGGCUCUCUCUUCUCCUGUAGCUCCAAAGCAUAACGAUUGGUCUCUACUAUGUCUCCCACCAGCUCCUCUGUCAGAAACAACUUGAAGCACUCUGCCUCAGAUGGAAAUGGCAAGGGGCGUUGCACUCCAGACUGGGACUCAUCAAUACAAACAGCACUGCCAGGAGGGGUGAAAUGGCUGGCAGCCUUCCAGCUACCACAGAACUCCUGUACUUCAUCCUCUGUUGGUCUGCCUCCAUCACCACCAGCAUCUCCAAAGGGAACUCGGACUUUGUCAGUGGAUUAGGGGUCCUCAGACAACUGGUCCUCUGGCACUGUCAGAAUCUGAUUCCUGACUUUCAGACUCAGACUCAUUGUCAGAAUAUUUUUAAAUCUCCAGAAUUUCCGCAUUUGUGAGUUGUCUCCUUUUGAAAGACAUUGCUAAUGCUAAUGCUCAUUAGCUACAUACAUAAACAACAACACUGAAUGGCUCAGAGUGGGAGUGAGAGGUUAAGUGAUUGACUGCCUGCACGCGCCAUUUGUAUCAAUAAAUCACUAUCAGAAAAUGUUUUGUGUGGUAUUAUGGAUAUAUUUACUAUUUUAUUCACGUUUUUCAAUUACCGGUGAUAAAUCAUGCAUUCCAAUUUUUGCAUAGAUUGUAAUGGGCACAUAGAAUGUGUAAAAUAUUUUUUUGAAAGGUUGUACUGAUUGUGAUGAACUGAGCUAAUUCCAGCUGUGUUUGGAGCCAUGUUUGUUGACAUACAAUGCAUUCUGGGUUUCACUUGAUCGUCUGUCGGACCAAAGAGGCUAUAACAAAAUGAGGUGAGUAAGGGUUCACUCAUUUUUUGAGAACUUCAGGAAG